rnacentral:snRNA from 1 species
ACUUAUACCUUGCAGGGAAAAUACCAUGUCAUAAAAGUGGUUUUCUCACAGGGAGGCUUAUCCAUUGUACCUCAGGUAUGCUGCUGAUCCCUAUGAUUUCCCCAAAUGGGGGGAACUCAACUGUGUGAUUUGUGUUAAUGGGGGAUUGCCCUUGUGAUUUCCCUGG